rnacentral:rRNA from 1 species
UACGAAGGGGGCUAGCGUUGUUCGGAAUUACUGGGCGUAAAGCGCACGCAGGCGGAUUUAUAAGUCAGGGGUGAAAUCCCGGGGCUCAACCUCGGAAUUGCCUUUGAAACUGUAUAGCUUGAGUCCGGGAGAGGUGAGUGGAAUUCCUGGUGUAGAGGUGAAAUUCGUAGAUAUUAGGAAGAACACCAAUGGCGAAGGCUGCUCACUGGCCCAGUACUGACGCUCAGGUGCGAAAGCGUGGGGAUCAUACAGG